AGGACGAACGCUGGCGGCGUGCUUAACACAUGCAAGUCGAGCGGAAAGGCCUUUCGGGGUACUCGAGCGGCGAACGGGUGAGUAACACGUGAGUAACCUGCCCCCUACUUUGGGAUAACCCUCGGAAACGGGGCUAAUACCGGAUAUGACUUCCUGUGGCAUCAUGGGUGGUGGAAAGUUUUUCGGUGGGGGAUGGGCUCGCGGCCUAUCAGCUUGUUGGUGGGGUAAUGGCCUACCAAGGCGACGACGGGUAG
rnacentral:rRNA from 1 species